ACAAAAACAUCUUUUCUUGUUAGUUUUUGAAGUAUGGCCUGCCCACUGACUUGGAGUUGAAGGGCCGCGGUAUUUUGACCGUGCAAAGGUAGCAUAAUCAUUAGUUCUUUAAUUGUGAUCUGGUAUGAAUGGCUUGACGAGACAUGAGCUGUCUUAGGGGUAUUGAUUAUAUUGAAUUUGGUUUUUGAGUUAAAAUUCUUAAAUGUUUUUAUGGGACGAGAAGACCCUAUAGAGUUUGACAAAUUUCUUAUUUAUUCAUUGUUUGUCUUAUUUACAUUGAAUAAGAAUUAUUAUUGUUUUGUUGGGGUGAUGGGAGGAAUAUUUUUAACUCCUCUUUGUUUUUGUAUAUUUAUGUAUGUUUUUUUGAUCCAUUUAUUUUGAUUAUAAGACUAAAUUACCUUAGGGAUAACAGCGUUAUCCUCCUUGAGAGUUCUUAUUGGCGGGGGGGUUUGCGACCUCGAUGUUGGAUUAAGGUGAAUUUUCGGUGCAGGAGCUGAAAGUGAUUAGGU
rnacentral:rRNA from 1 species